rnacentral:lncRNA from 1 species
ACUGCCACCCUCUCCCAGGUCUAGAGAGGGGUACCCACGGUGGAGGGAGGUGGGAGGCCGAGACGGCCCCGGGGGUCGGCGGAGACCCAGCGGGAGCAGGGGGAAAUCGGAAGAGCUGGGGGCAUGGAGCGGGCGAGUUUGGAGCGGAAUGAGCCGGGAGCCCUACGUUGUGGAAGGAAGACAACAGUAUAGGACCAUCAGCAGGACCGGACAGAGAGGGCCCUGGCUGUCCUGGAACUUGUAGACCAGGCUGGCCUUGAACUCAGAAAUCCGCCUGCCUCUGACUCCCGAGUGCUGAGAUUAAAGGUGUGCACCACCACACCCGACAAGGAAGCCUGUUUUAAGAAGUGAUUCCAUGGAGGAGUUCUGCGGCGGCUCAGGGCUUGACUAAACAGUGGACCUCAGGGUCCCAUUUCUCUCAGUAGACAAGAGAGGCUAAACCAGGCUGCAGGUGACAGGAAGAAUUGAAUAAACUGAAAGCAAAGGGCAGCCUUCUAAUUACGCUUCGUGGCUAUGUGGACAACCUGGAGAAGUCUGGAAACGUGAGUGGUGCUAAUCCCCUUUGUAAUGAAAGGCCCGGGUAAAAACAGAUGGGGCAAGUAGGUGUAAUGGGUAUUUCAGGAGCUUGAAUCUGAUGUCACAGCUUGUCUGGAUGGGACGUGCAUCUACUUGCAGAGCUAUGUUCCCAUCUAGUGUAAUUGUGGGUGUUUUAAUUCAGGCGUCACCUCUAUUUUGUCCUCUCUCCACAGCUUUCCUCCUCCAUUUUACUACUUGAGGGAGCAGUGGGUGGGAUACUAGGCAAGUAGCUGCAAUGGCUGGUGCUUUAUGGUUCCCUGGCAUCCCCUGAAUCUGUUAACAUCCCAACCUUCUUGACAGCCAGCCCCACCCCAUCACAUUCUUACUCCUUCCCUUUCCAAGAAAGAAGCCAGAAGCCCGAAGCCAGCAGUAGAGCUCUGACUGGCUUGUAUGCCUAGAAAGGAAGGGCUCUUCUUUCGCCUCACGGGCACAAAUGGGACCCACGAGCGCCGAUUUCAGACUAUUCUGAUCCCUUCAAAAAGAAAGUUAGGAGUCCAGGCUACUGUGAGUGAAUUUGAUUCUAAUUGUUUCAGAGAAUAUGGAAUAAAAUAUCUCAUUUGCA